rnacentral:rRNA from 1 species
UACGAAGGUCCCAAGCGUUAUCCGGAUUUAUUGGGUUUAAAGGGUGCGUAGGCGGGUUAUUAAGUCAGUGGUGAAAGCCUUCAGCUUAACUGAAGAAUUGCCAUUGAUACUGAUGAUCUUGAGUAUGAUUGAGGUGGGCGGAAUGUGUCAUGGUAGCGGUGAAAUGCUUAGAUAUGACACAGAACACCGAUUGCGAAGGCAGCUCACUAAGCCAUAACUGACGCUGAUGCACGAAAGCGUGGGGAGCAAACAGG